CCUGGCGGCCGUAGCGCGGUGGUCCCACCUGACCCUAUGCCGAACUCAGAAGUGAAACGCCGUAGCGCCGAUGGUAGUGUGGGGUCUCCCCAUGCGAGAGUAGGGAACUGCCAGGC
rnacentral:rRNA from 2 species